rnacentral:piRNA from 1 species
UAGUCAUGAUUAAAUGCGCCGGUAAGCAGA